AACGAACGUUGGCGGCAUGGAUUAGGCAUGCAAGUCGAGCGAGAAGAGUUUUGAAGCUUGCUUUAGAACUCGGACAGCGGCGAAAGGGAGAGUAACGCGUAGUUAUGUACCCUAGGGUCCGGAAUAGCCACGGGAAACUGUGGGUAAUGCCGGAUAACAUCCCCGGAUCAAAGGUGUGAUUCCGCCCUAGGAGCAGACUGCGUCCUACUAGCUAGUUGGUGGGGUAAUGGCCCACCAAGGCAAUGAUGGGUAGCGGGUGUGAGAGCAUGACCCGUCUCACUGGGACUGAGACACUGCCCAGACACCUACGGGUGGCUGCAGUCGAGAAUCUUCGGCAAUGGGCGAAAGCCUGACCGAGCGAUGCCGCGUGCGGGAUGAAGGCCCUCGGGUUGUAAACCGCUGUCGUAGGGGAGGAAGGUUCCGUGAAGAGCGGAAUUUGACCUAUCCUAGGAGGAAGUACGGGCUAAGUUCGUGCCAGCAGCCGCCGUAAGAC
rnacentral:rRNA from 1 species